GCAGGACACCCAUAGGGCAGUGGAAUUCUGUUACCUGCCCCUGCGGUUCAACCCGGAAACGCUGGCUGCAGAGAUCCGGUGAGGACCCCGGCCCUGGGUGGACAGGAUCGGGAGUCUGUUCAGUCUGGGAGAUCGCUUUCUGCUGCCUUCUUGCUAGGAUCCUACGUGAAGCCUACGUGCACGGUGGAGGCCGGGACCCAGAAGUUCUGGACAAAAUAUUGCAGCUGCAAGUGGAAGCGUCAGCCCUGGAAUUGCAGCGGUCGCAAAACCGCAAGGGUGAACGAAAGGGUCUAUCAUAGAGGGUUUCUACACUGAUGGUCCUAGAGUUGGAAGGAGAAAAGGGCUUGAGGGAGAGCACCACUAGAAUGGGAGGCACGUAAGCCCAAGGAAGGAAAACCCAUUGCCAGAUGACAAAUCCAGGCUUGUGCAGAAACCCUUAAAGUUGGAUUACUACAUAAUGCUUGACAGAUCACUUUAAUUCAUCUCAGAAAAACUAAGUGCCGCCUCUGAGGAGGUUCUAACGGUGGAAGCCGAAAACAGGCUCCUGGAGGCAGAAAUCCUGGCAUUGCAGAAGCAGAAAGUCCUGAGUCUGUCGCCCUGGGGUCAGUGAAAAAUACAGCCUCUCCCUAGACAAUCCCAGGGAACCCAACUCUGAAGGGGUGAAGGGACCAAGUCGGGAGGAUGAAGUCCAUGUCUGUAACGUGUUUCUGUCAAUACAGCUAUCUUUGUAUCUUUGGUUUAUGAGCCUGUACUCCCUCUGACUUACUCAGUUUGCUGCUUCCUCCAGCUCAAGCCACUUUGUUGUUGUUUCUAGGAUCCAGGGAUCUCCCCGGACACCUGAGUAGGUGUGAUAACUCCCUCCUCCCUCCACUGGUUGCACCCCCAAUACCACAACUUACAAGUUCCACAAAAGCCCAGAACUUCCAUGGCACUUCAAAGACUGUGAGAAAGACAGCAUUCGGGGUUGAUGGCUGGCUUGACAUGCAGUUUGGGGAUCAUGGGCAGAUUGCAGUUCUGUAGGACUGAACUCUUUUGUCCACAAUAGAUACUUAAUGGAACCAUGACAAGAAAAAUGGGUCUGGAUCUCCACUUCCUCCUACCUGCAUCAGAUGUUCUAGGUCCAGCACCCUAUGAUCCUGGGUGAGGCCUGCUCCCUCCUUCACAGCAUUUUUGAAUGCUGACAUUUAUGGAGACCCACCAACCGCCAUCCAGGCUUAAAGUACUGGCCGGGUGGAGGAAUUAGGGGCUCUGUGUACAUAGAUUUGUAUUCUUCAGGGCUGGCCUUGUCAUUUUCUAUGACUUCCUGCGGGGCCUUGACACUUCUUGGAUAUGGGUACAGCUAAUGACCAGCUUGGCCCGGAAUGGACAAGAUACAGGAGGGACCACAGCAUUACCUCCAGCCCUUUGCUUGCCACAACCUUCAGCUCCUGGACCUAUGGGCAACUGUGCUAUCCUAGCAAGCAAGCAGCCUGUGCCCAGGUUAGUAGGUAUAGGUCAUAAAGGCUGCACCUUACUAGGUCUGAUCUGUACACUGGGCCCAAGAGCAGCCCUACAACAAACUAGGGACUUCAGCUAAAUACUCGAACGUGAUUUUGUUUCACAGGCUGCCUCCAUCACCACUGGUAUCUUUGAUCUGUGAACUACAGGCCUGGCAUGGAGUUACAUGGGCACCACAACCAAAGGCUUGGGCCUCACUAUUGCUAUUUGACCAAGAUCUGAGGGUGCUUAGGGGCCGUUGGCGCCUCCCACUUCGGGUCUAUCCUAACACCAGCCUCAGCCUUGCCCAGAGGAAUGAGAUUCCCCAGGUAAGUAUAGAGGAUAAAGACUGGGUAUACUCCCAGAUUCCAAUGGAGUACCACUUCCUUUGUUAGGCAGGCCAGGCUGAGCUCUUUCUGAGGCUGGUAAAUGCAAGAGAUACAGAUGCCCAGACAUUGGCAGAGAUCAACCCAGCAAAUGCCCAUGAAUACCAGUACCCACCAAUGGUGAGUCCACUUCUGGUCAGCCUGUAGGCUAAGCAGCUUCUAUUAGAUAGUGUAUACCAAUUAAGGUAUCUACAUUAAUCCUUAAACCUACCCAUGAAAUACCAUGUGGCAGAAAAAGAACACUUGCCCUGCUUUUCAUUAAACUUUGUCCUCAGUUUAACUCC
rnacentral:lncRNA from 1 species